GGGAUAUGAUGAGUGGUCAAUGCUCGCAUAUAAACAUGCGAGAUGGGUGUCCAGCCCACUCCCUGGUUACGACAACAGGGCACUCCCAUCUUCACCUAUCUGAUCCC
rfam:Populus trichocarpa scaffold_5_contig_414, whole genome shotgun sequence.